rnacentral:rRNA from 1 species
CCCUUAGAUGUUCUGGGCCGCACGCGCGCUACACUGAUUCAUGCAACGAGUUUUGUCCUUGGCUGAAAGGCCUGGGUAAUCUUUGAACGUGAAUCGUGCUGGGGAUAGAUGAUUGCAAUUAUUCAUCUUCAACGAGGAAUUCCUAGUAAACGCAAGUCAUCAGCUUGCAUUGAUUACGUCCCUGCCCUUUGUACACACCGCCCGUCGCACCUACCGAUUGAAUGGUCCGGUGAAAUCUUCGGAUCUGAGAGAUGUUGGAUUAAUUUCUGGCGUCUUUUGGAAAAGUCGCUUAAACCUUAUCAUUUAGAGGAAGGUGAAGUCGUAACA